rnacentral:rRNA from 1 species
GACGAACGCUGGCGGCGUGCUUAACACAUGCAAGUCGAACGGAAAGGCCCUGCUUUUGUGGGGUGCUCGAGUGGCGAACGGGUGAGUAACACGUGAGUAACCUGCCCUUGACUUUGGGAUAACUUCAGGAAACUGGGGCUAAUACCGGAUAGGAGCUCCUGCUGCAUGGGGGGGGUUGGAAAGUUUCGGCGGUUGGGGAUGGACUCGCGGCUUAUCAGCUUGUUGGUGGGGUAGUGGCUUACCAAGGCUUUGACGGGUAGCCGGCCUGAGAGGGUGACCGGCCACAUUGGGACUGCGAUACGGCCCAGACUCCUACGGGCGGCAGCAGUGGGGAAUCUUGCACAAUGGGCGGAAGCCUGAUGCAGCAACGCCGCGUGCGGGAUGACGGCCUUCGGGUUGUAAACCGCUUUCGCCUGUGACGAAGCGUGAGUGACGGUAAUGGGUAAAGAAGCACCGGCUAACUACGUG